CUUCCAUCUGCCUAAGCGAAACUGUAAACGGGAUUUUUCCCCCCACAAUUGAAUGGAAGCUCUGUACUGUACCGACUUCUGGAUUUGCCCUGGGUUGAGUUUAGGGAAUGUCUGGAAAGCAAAAAGAGAGGAAAAGAGGAGGGGGGCAGCUCAAGCCCUGUCCAAGUUAGGCAGAAGGCUGUGUUAGGCAGGAAAGAGGCUACGGGAGAAACAGCUGGGAUGCAGACUGGCUGUGGAAAUCUCAGUUCUAGGAACCGUGUCCUUUGGUCCCGGAGAUUUUGCAUUUUUUACAAGACCCCCCAGCAGCAAAAAGAUUACAAUUCGCUGAAGGCUCAGAUGAUGGUCCGCAUUUUCUAGCAAUAAAGUAUUUUCAAAUUGCGUGGUCUGGAACUGAACCCGCAAGAUGUCCAAGAUUAUCUCCAAGCUAACAUCUGCUGCCAAUCCUCCUGUUUUAGCUGAGGAAGACUGGAAGCUGAGCUAACAUCCGUGCCCAUCUUCCUCUACUUUAUAUGUGGGACGCCUACCACAGCAUGGCUUGCCAAGCAAUGCCAUAUCUGCACCCAGAAUCUGAACCGGCAAACCCUGGGCGGCCAAAGCAGAACGUGCGCACUUAACCGCUGCGCCACCGGGCCAGCCCCCCUAAGCUUCUACUUUUAACCUGUUAAAGUGGGUUUCUUGUUGGCAACAUGUAGUUGUGUCUUACCUUUCUAUCCAAUCUGACA
rnacentral:lncRNA from 1 species